UCGGCUGCUACCCCGGGCCGCGGGUCUGGCUGUGCUCAGGCGGUCCCGCUUGGAGCCGGCUCCCCCCCUGCCGCUGCCGCCGCCGCUCAAGCCUCUCUCCGCCCAGGCACACAAGAUGGCGGCGCUCGGUGGCCACGUCAGUGCCAGCCCCGCGCGCGGCACCACGGCGCUGCUGCUGGAAGGAGCUCCCACGGUCCAUGCAACGGGGACCCACCUGACGUGACCACUGACGACUUGCCUUCGUUUGCUCAGCAGCCAGAUUCUUCCAGAACUGGAAUGAAACUUUGGCCAUUUUCCAUCAUCAGAACCUCAUUAGGUUGUGCAGCCACUAAUUGCUACCCACGAGCCCGACAGCUUGCGUCAAAGGAGAAGACAGAAGUUGCCCUGGGACCCGCCAAUCAAUGUCACAGCCAGCCUGGGCCCUCGGUGCACUUUGACCACCUGCAAGAAUGACGACGAUUGUUUCGGAUGCGAGGAGAGAGAUGGAAACCAGCCUAAUUAUAACAUCAAUGUCAGGUCACGUUCCCCCGUCGGACACCUGCACGAUGGAGAAAAAAAGCAGACGGCAGCUCUCGGAGUCCAGCUUCUGUGAAGCCAGCUAGAGACGUCACGGCUGCUCUCGGCUGUCCAGGCCUUGAAGAGCUUUCUUUGUGCCCGCUGUCCUAUCAGCUGUUGUGUGGAGACCGAGAUGUACAUGUUGUGAAAAAAGUGUGACUGGAGUAAUGGUGAGAGAGGGAAAUACAAAUAUGCAAGGGAAAUUGGCAGCUAGGUCCGUAAGGGCGAGGGAAGGAGGGUAGGUGCAGGGAGGCUGCAAAAGGAAGGACUGCAGAGAAGGCUCUUGGUUAGUGAAAGGACGUGGUGUGGAAAGGAAGUAAAAAUGUGUCUAAUGUCUAAAUCAUUUCACUUCAUUUUGUGUGUCUGCAAGGUAGCUAUCUCCAGCUGAGUUCAUUCCUAGCUCCCUUUUACAGUCACUACAGAGAAACAGGGAGCUUAGUGUGAGAUUCAGCACCCUUUCCAAGAUAUCUCCUUCAGGGUGAGAUGACCUAUGCCAUCAUCUCCACUGACUGGACUGACUCAGUCUCCCCAGGAGAUCCCAGGGGUGUGAAUCUGGUGGAGAUGUCUCCUUUGUAGGACAUGACCUCCUGAGCGACUUGGUCCAGUGUUAGAACUACUUUGAGCAGUGUUGGACCAGAGGAGCCUUCAGCAUCAGUAGUGUGGUGGUAUCUUCGCUUGGUCAAAAAGAUCCAUUCCUGUGUGGCAGGAGACAGACAAAUGGGUCUACAGAGGCAAGAGAGAUCCUGGGCUGAUGUUCUGUAGAGUGUUUUGCAGAGUUCAAGGUGGUGGUGGUGGGGUCUCACAACCAGUCCCAGGAAAGCUUCUUCUCAAAUUUCAGAUCCACCAGUGACACCUCUGGGAGGCCUGCCUUCUUCCCAUGCACAUUUUUGGGGUCUCAACCUUCUGUGUUGUCCAAGGGCCCCAAAACUGGCAACAAGUUUUCUUCCUGGUGGAUAUGUUGCUCCAGGCUGGAUGUGGGAUUGUAACAGGCCUAUUGGCUUCGUGGGACCCAUAAAUGAGCCAAAGCCUGCUUAUCCUAUGCUGGAAACACACUUUGUGAAUACAACGGGGCUGUUUGUAGGAAAGCAAGCAGGCUGGGUUUAGCCGGAUAGCUGCAAGAGCAGCUGGUUGGUAGUUGGAACAUUUUUAAGACAAGAAAGGGCACGUCGGAAGUGAAUCCAAAGAGAUCAGCCAUUCAGCGUCUUCCUCCUCUCUAUUUCUAAACUUUAAUGUUGUUUUUUAUACUGUCCCACGUACCUGGAACUGGGGAACCUUCCCCUUCUUCCCCUGAGCCCCAGAGGGAAGGAUCUGUGAAGAACGAGCUGUGUGAGAGGGGAUCGCCCAGCAGCCUCCAAAACUUGCUUCGAGCCACCGCAGGCUUCGCUUGUGGUGUCCCAGUGGAGAAGGAUCACAAGUCUUUUUUUCUUAGGCAAGUCUGCUGAAAUCAAAAGAGAGUUUGCCCCCAGUGUGGUGCUGGGUGUGCAAUAUAGAGAACAAAGCAAGCAGACGAACCUUUGCAAGGCCCCAUUUGCUGAAAUUCGAGUGUAAAUCGAUUUCAGCUUCCUGCUUGUACGUUCCCGGAGUGAUCCUAGCAUCCAACUGCAGAGAAUGAAAUCCUUGCUGCAGGAUGCUGUCAGUGCUGAAAGUUUGCAGAGGUUCAUGGGAGGAAAAACCCAUCAAGGAUUCAGAUACCAACUCUGGCUCGGUGCAUCCCUGGCACAAGGGGCUGGGGCUUGGGAGAGGACCGUUUGGCCUGCACUGGAGUGGCAGCAAUGGCUGUGGGUUGCCCCGUUAGGCACCUACUAACAUGACAAAUGAGGACCACAGGAGACCUUAUUAGGAAAGAGAUCAUCUACAAGGAGAUCUCCUUGCCCAAGACCACAUGGGAGCAAAGUAGCAGAGCAUGAACUUGAUCUCGGUAUCUGCCCACUCCUAAGGCAGGAGGCCAAGGAGCAACCUCACAGCUUAUUCUGACCAUGAGGACAAGACCAUCACCCAUCUUCAGCUGCAGUCUCGGAAUAGGUGGGGCACCCCCGUGAAGACACCCAUGGAGUUGAGAGAGCCAUGGCUACAGGAUCCACCUUGCUUGCCUGAGAGAGGUUUGGGGGUCAGGGACCGCCUUCCUCAUGCCUUUGCUACCUCUGCGCUUCCAUCCUCCCAUACCUGGUGUCCUCUGACGUCUCCUUAUAUGCCAAAGGGAUGCCUGGGCAAGGAGGAGUGGAGCACAAACUGCUUUUUGCUUCACCUGAUGGCUAACCCUCACUGACACAGCACUUGGUGGAGCCUUUGGCCAGGGGUCCUUUGGCAGUGCCCUAACUUGCUGAGCCCCAGCCAAAGAGACUCAGAGCUGCCCGAGAUGCACAGCCCGUGGGGCUGUCAGGAGGUGUUGACAUCUCAGGGAUAUCCCUUUUGUUCCCUCCAGGAUGCAGAGGAAAACCUGUGCCCACGCUGGGCUAUGAUACAAUCUGGCCUCUGGGUUUCCUCAGCCCCUGGCUCCAGCAAAUGCCAAUUUAUGUCAAUUAUUCCUUUACAUUUAUUGUGUGUGUGCCUCACUUAUCUCUAGGGAAACAGCCGUGCUGCUGGGGCGUGAUUUAUCCUUGAGAAAUAUAUUUCAAUUAGCAUUUAAACCCA